rnacentral:rRNA from 1 species
UACAGAGGGUGCGAGCGUUGUUCGGAAUUAUUGGGCGUAAAGGGCGCGUAGGCGGCGCCACAAGUCACUUGUGAAAACUCUGGGCUCAACUCAGAGCCUGCAAGCGAAACUGUGGUGCUGGAGUAUGGGAGAGGAGCGUGGAAUUCCUGGUGUAGCGGUGAUAUGCGCAGAUAUCAGGAGGAACACCAGCGGCGAAGGCGGCGCUCUGGGCUGGCACUGACGCUGAGGCACGAAAGCUAGGGGAGCAAACAGG